AUUGAACGCUGGCGGCAGGCCUAACACAUGCAAGUCGAGCGGAUGAAGGGAGCUUGCUCCUGGAUUCAGCGGCGGACGGGUGAGUAAUGCCUAGGAAUCUGCCUGUUAGUGGGGGAUAACGUCCGGAAACGGGCGCUAAUACCGCAUACGUCCUGAGGGAGAAAGUGGGGGAUCUUCGGACCUCACGCUAUCAGAUGAGCCUAGGUCGGAUUAGCUAGUUGGUGGGGUAAAGGCCUACCAAGGCGACGAUCCGUAACUGGUCUGAGAGGAUGAUCAGUCACACUGGAACUGAGACACGGUCCAGACUCCUACGGGAGGCAGCAGUGGGGAAUAUUGGACAAUGGGCGAAAGCCUGAUCCAGCCAUGCCGCGUGUGUGAAGAAGGUCUUCGGAUUGUAAAGCACUUUAAGUUGGGAGGAAGAGCAGUAAGUUAAUACCUUGCUGUUUUGACGUUACCAACAGAAUAAGCACCGGCUAACUUCGUG
rnacentral:rRNA from 1 species